CAGUCGACGAUGAUGCUGGAGCUUGCUCCAGUUGAUUAGUGGCGAACGGGUGAGUAACACGUGAGCAAUCUGCCCUUGACUCUGGGAUAACUGCGGGAAACUGUAGCUAAUACCGGAUACUUUCACCGGAAGGCAUCUUCUGGUGAUGAAAGAAUUUCGGUCAGGGAUGAGCUCGCGGCCUAUCAGCUUGUUGGUGAGGUAACGGCUCACCAAGGCGACGAUGGGUAACCGGCCUGAGAGGGUGACCGGUCACACUGGGACUGAGACACGGCCCAGACUCCUACGGGAGGCAGCAGUGGGGAAUAUUGCACAAUGGGCGCAAGCCUGAUGCAGCAACGCCGCGUGAGGGACGAAGGCCUUCGGGUUGUAAACCUCUUUUAGCAGGGAAGAAGCGAAAGUGACGGUACCUGCAGAAAAAGCACCGGCUAACUACGUGCCAGCAGCCGCGGUAAUACGUAGGGUGCAAGCGUUGUCCGGAAUUAUUGGGCGUAAAGAGCUCGUAGGCGGUUUGUCACGUCUGCUGUGAAAAUCCAAGGCUCAACCUUGGACUUGCAGUGGGUACGGGCAGGCUAGAGUGCGGUAGGGGAGAUGGGAAUUCCUGGUGUAGCGGUGGAAUGCGCAGAUAUCAGGAGGAACACCAAUGGCGAAGGCACAUCUCUGGGCCGUAACUGACGCUGAGGAGCGAAAGCGUGGGGGGCAAACAGGAUUAGAUACCCUGGUAGUCCACGCCGUAAACGGUGGGUGCUAGCUGUGGGCCACAUUCCACGUGGUCCGUAACGAAGUUAACACAUUAAGCACCCCGCCUGGGGAGUACGGCCGCAAGGCUAAAACUCAAAGGAAUUGACGGG
rnacentral:rRNA from 1 species